AGAGUUUGAUCAUGGCUCAGAUUGAACGCUGGCGGCAGGCCUAACACAUGCAAGUCGAACGGUAACAGGAAGCAGCUUGCUGCUUCGCUGACGAGUGGCGGACGGGUGAGUAAUGUCUGGGAAGCUGCCUGAUGGAGGGGGAUAACUACUGGAAACGGUAGCUAAUACCGCAUAAUGUCGCAAGACCAAAGAGGGGGACCUUCGGGCCUCUUGCCAUCGGAUGUGCCCAGAUGGGAUUAGCUUGUUGGUGGGGUAACGGCUCACCAAGGCGACGAUCCCUAGCUGGUCUGAGAGGAUGACCAGCCACACUGGAACUGAGACACGGUCCAGACUCCUACGGGAGGCAGCAGUGGGGAAUAUUGCACAAUGGGCGCAAGCCUGAUGCAGCCAUGCCGCGUGUAUGAAGAAGGCCUUCGGGUUGUAAAGUACUUUCAGCGGGGAGGAAGGGAGUAAAGUUAAUACCUUUGCUCAUUGACGUUACCCGCAGAAGAAGCACCGGCUAACUCCGUGCCAGCAGCCGCGGUAAUACGGAGGGUGCAAGCGUUAAUCGGAAUUACUGGGCGUAAAGCGCACGCAGGCGGUUUGUUAAGUCAGAUGUGAAAUCCCCGGGCUCAACCUGGGAACUGCAUCUGAUACUGGCAAGCAUGAGUCUCGUAGAGGGGGGUAGAAUUCCAGGUGUAGCGGUGAAAUGCGUAGAGAUCUGGAGGAAUACCGGUGGCGAAGGCGGCCCCCUGGACGAAGACUGACGCUCAGGUGCGAAAGCGUGGGGAGCAAACAGGAUUAGAUACCCUGGUAGUCCACGCCGUAAACGAUGUCGACUUGGAGGUUGUGCCCUUGAGGCGUGGCUUCCGGAGCUAACGCGUUAAGUCGACCGCCUGGGGAGUACGGCCGCAAGGUUAAAACUCAAAUGAAUUGACGGGGGCCCGCACAAGCGGUGGAGCAUGUGGUUUAAUUCGAUGCAACGCGAAGAACCUUACCUGGUCUUGACAUCCACGGAAGUUUUCAGAGAUGAGAAUGUGCCUUCGGGAACCGUGAGACAGGUGCUGCAAGGCUGUCGUCAGCUCGUGUUGUGAAAUGUUGGGUUAAGUCCCGCAACGAGCGCAACCCUUAUCCUUUGUUGCCAGCGGUCCGGCCGGGAACUCAAAGGAGACUGCCAGUGAUAAACUGGAGGAAGGUGGGGAUGACGUCAAGUCAUCAUGGCCCUUACGACCAGGGCUACACACGUGCUACAAUGGCGCAUACAAAGAGAAGCGACCUCGCGAGAGCAAGCGGACCUCAUAAAGUGCGUCGUAGUCCGGAUUGGAGUCUGCAACUCGACUCCAUGAAGUCGGAAUCGCUAGUAACCGUGGAUCAGAAUGCCACGGUGAAUACGUUCCCGGGCCUUGUACACACCGCCCGUCACACCAUGGGAGUGGGUUGCAAAAGAAGUAGGUAGCUUAACCUUCGGGAGGGCGCUUACCACUUUGUGAUUCAUGACUGGGGUGAAGUCGGAACAAGGUA
rnacentral:rRNA from 1 species